rnacentral:snRNA from 1 species
AGAUUUGGGAGAAUAAUCUGGCUACAACAUCUGUAACUCCAUUGACCACCAGGAUUGAUUUACCUGACGUGACUUGGCUAAACAGGUGUCCCCUUCCCCAUCACCAUUCCAUGUAUGUGCAGCCUUCCUUCCUGAAGGUGCAUGCUCCAUUGAGGAGGAUGGUUUUUCCCAAAGACCAGUCUUCAAUCAAAAUCAUAAGAGUAGCUGCGCUCUAAAGCCCACACUAGGCCCAGUCUAUCUCUUCUGCCUGCUUAU